UCCUCCUCCUCCUCCUCAACUCUCCGCGGCCGCCGCUGAAAAUGUCCACAGAGGAUCGAGUUACACUACGCCCCAUCUUUAAGCCCCGGUCCGCGGGGCAGUGCGCCGUUAGCCAGCAGCACAACCAGAGGACAGGGCCGCGGGACGCACCGGGCUUCGCACUCAUGCCUUGAAAAAGGGAAGCGCUCCAAAUUGUUGUUAAUGGGGAGAAACCACAUUCCACUGCAGUUCUAACAAUGAUAGAAACAAUGGGACCACCUUGUCUUUUGGAACAAACGCAAACAGAUGGACACCCACAUACAUGCC
ensembl:lncRNA